rnacentral:lncRNA from 1 species
UUUUUUUCAUCUAUUAUUCGAGGAAUAUCAGCAUCCCUUCCUUCCUGACGUAAUGGCUCUUCUCUAACCUGAUCAUUUCUAAUUCUUUCCGUUUCACGGAAUUUUUUUCUUCUUCUUCUCAAGGUUCUCUUAAUUUCUAGAUCAAAAGAAUAAUCUUCAAUUGUUGAAACAUCUUUACUCAUGCACCAACAAAAAUCCUGAAAAACAAAAAAAAAUCACAACUAACUAAGCUAAACUAAUAAAAUUAAAAAGGUAAUAACACACCAAAUUUUCACCAAAAUUGUCGAUCCCCGG